rnacentral:rRNA from 1 species
GACGAACCGUGCGAACGUUGUUCGGAAUCACUGGGCUUAAAGGGCGCGUAGGCGGCAUAGCAAGUCCGGGGUGAAAGCCCCCGGCUUAACCUGGGAACUGCGUCUGAUACUGGAGGGCUUGAGUGCGGGAGAGGGAUGUGGAAUUCCAGGUGUAGCGGUGAAAUGCGUAGAUAUCUGGAGGAACACCGGUGGCGAAGGCGGCAUCCUGGACCGACACUGACGCUGAGGCGCGAAAGCUAGGGUAGCAAACGGG